CAGGACGAACGCUGGCGGCGUGCUUCAUACAUGCAAGUCGAACGAGAAACUAACUUCGGUUAGUGGAAAGUGGCGGACGGGUGAGUAAUAUGUAGAGAAUCUGCCCUGGAGAGGGGGACAACAGAGGGAAACUUCUGCUAAUACCCCAUAUGAGCGUAGUUGUGAUACUAUUCUUGAAAGAUUUAUCGCUCCGGGAUGAGUCUGCAUCUGAUUAGCUAGUUGGGGGUGUAAUGGACCACCAAGGCGACGAUCAGUAGCUGGUUUGAGAGGAUGAUCAGCCACAAUGGGACUGAGACACGGCCCAUACUCCUACGGGAGGCAGCAGUAGGGAAUUUUGCGCAAUGGGCGAAAGCCUGAACCGCAGCAACGCCGCGUGAUCGUAGACGCCCUUCGGGGUGUAAAGAUCUGUCAGUAGGGACGAACAAUGACUGUACCUACAGAGGAAGCACCGGCUAACUCCGUGCCAGCCGCGGC
rnacentral:rRNA from 1 species